rnacentral:rRNA from 1 species
CACGUAGGGUGCGAGCGUUGUCCGGAAUUAUUGGGCGUAAAGAGCUCGUAGGCGGUGUGUCGCGUCGGCCGUGAAAACCUGCAGCUUAACUGUGGGCGUGCGGUCGAUACGGGCAUCACUGGAGUUCGGCAGGGGAGACUGGAAUUCCUGGUGUAGCGGUGAAAUGCGCAGAUAUCAGGAGGAACACCGGUGGCGAAGGCGGGUCUCUGGGCCGAUACUGACGCUGAGGAACGAAAGCGUGGGGAGCGAACAGG